AUGCAAUCUAUAUCGGAUGCAAGUUUGGAAAUGUAUUAUUUGUACAUGCUCCUAUUUUAUGUUGGCCCCACAUCUCGUAACUCUCAAAUUUCUUACAUCGGCUGGCGAAUGUGGGCUAACUCUGAACUGCUAGAUUUUUAUAUGUGGUUGGUUGGACACCUUAUGUUGGCGGACACUGACCUUCUCCCAGCCUGUCAAUAUUCACGAAAGCUAAGUUUGAUUUAUUUCUAUUGCCAAGAGGUGGACACUGAUUCUCAUCCAGCCUGUCAAUCUUCACUAAUAUUUUGGUUUAACCUGCUCUCAAUGCAAGAGUAA
rnacentral:rRNA from 1 species